AUCAAGAUGACCGGGGUGUGCCGGGGGGAAAGGGGCAGCAUGAUUGUCUGAGAUGGUGUAGCGUCGGACCAUGUGGAAGUUUCUGAGACUGGGGAGCCGGAUAAUGGGGGGUGGGGACCGUUGGGGGGUAAAGGGGCAAUAGCGUCCUUUCACAGGCUAACCUCGGCCCUUCCCAGUCCUCUGGACUAAAAUGGGGAACACAUUGGGCCUGGCACCAAUGGGGACUUUGCCCCGCCGGAGCCCCCGCCGAGAGGAACCCCUGCCCAACCCUGGGAGCUUCGAUGAGCUGCACCGGCUAUGCAAAGAUGUAUUCCCAGCACAGAUGGAGGGCGUGAAGCUCGUUGUCAACAAGGUUCUGAGCAGCCAUUUCCAGACGCAGCAGGCCAAGUUCUUGACAUGGCAGUUUGAUGGCGAGUAUCGGGGAGAUGACUACACAGCCACUCUGACCCUAGGAAAUCCUGACCUGAUUGGGGAGUCGGUGAUCAUGGUUGCUCACUUCCUGCAGAGCCUCACUCAUCGGCUGGUGCUGGGAGGAGAGCUAGUUUAUCACCGGCGGCCAGGCGAAGAGGGGGCCAUCUUGACACUGGCUGGGAAGUACUCGGCUGUACACUGGGUAGCUACAUUGAAUGUGGGAUCAGGCGGGGCCCAUGCAAGUUACUACCACAGGGCAAAUGAACAGGUUCAGGUUGGAGUGGAGUUUGAGGCAAACACAAGGCUACAAGACACAACAUUCUCCUUUGGUUACCACCUGACUCUGCCCCAGGCCAACAUGGUAUUUAGAGGCUUGGUGGAUAGUAACUGGUGUGUAGGUGCUGUGCUGGAGAAGAAGAUGCCCCCUCUGCCUGUCACCCUAGCCCUGGGAGCCUUCCUCAAUCACUGGCGCAACAGAUUCCAUUGUGGCUUCAGCAUCACUGUGGGCUGAGGUUGUCCAGAGCCAGCCCCCACAGCAGCUGGAACCUCUGAGUCAGGUGCCCUAGGGCCAGAGACUAGGCCCCUCUCCAGAGCCCACCUUGCUGGGUGAUCUCUAGGACCCAGAAGCAGAGUGGCGGACAGGACCAUGCCCUCCUCAGAACUGGAGCUGCCACAGGGGCAGUUGAUGAGGCAGAGGUUUGAGGAUCCC
rnacentral:sRNA from 1 species